rnacentral:rRNA from 1 species
UACGUAGGGGGCAAGCGUUGUCCGGAAUCAUUGGGCGUAAAGCGCGUGUAGGCGGCUCGAUAAGUCCGGUGUGAAACCUUGGGGCUCAACCCCAAGCCUGCACUGGAUACUGUCGAGCUAGAGUCCGGGAGGGGAGAGCGGAACUCCUAGUGUAGCGGUGAAAUGCGCAGAUAUCAGGAGGAACACCGGUGGCGAAGGCGGUUCUCUGGGCAUGUCCUGACGCUGAGGAGCGAAAGUGUGGGGAGCGAACAGG